rnacentral:rRNA from 1 species
UACAGAGGUCCCAAGCGUUGUUCGGAUUCACUGGGCGUAAAGGGUGCGUAGGCGGUCGGGUAAGUCUGAUGUGAAAUCUCAUAGCUUAACUGUGAAACUGCAUUGGAUACUAUCCGGCUAGAGGAAUGGAGGGGAGACUGGAAUACUUGGUGUAGCAGUGAAAUGCGUAGAUAUCAAGUGGAACACCAGUGGCGAAGGCGAGUCUCUGGACAUUUCCUGACGCUGAGGCACGAAAGCCAGGGGAGCAAACGGG